UGCGUAGGGUGCGAGCGUUGUCCGGAAUUACUGGGCGUAAAGCGCGUGUAGGCGGACCAGCAAGUCGGACGUGAAAUCCCUGAGCUCAACUCAGGAACUGCAUCCGAAACUGCUGGUCUGGAGUGGUGGAGAGGGAAGCAGAAUUCCUGGUGUAGAGGUGAAAUGCGCAGAUAUCAGGAGGAACACCGAUAGCGAAGGCAGCACUCUGGUACGUGACUGACGCUGAGACGCGAAAGCGUGGGGAGCAAACAGG
rnacentral:rRNA from 1 species